rfam:Felis catus isolate Cinnamon breed Abyssinian chromosome C1, whole genome shotgun sequence.
GCCUGGGUGGCUCAGUCGGUUAAGUGUCCGACUUCGGCUCAGGUCAUGAUCUCAUGGCUUGUGGGUUCGAGCCCCACAUCGGGCU